UGGGGAAUUUUGGACAAUGGGCGCAAGCCUGAUCCAGCCAUGCCGCGUGCGGGAAGAAGGCCUUCGGGUUGUAAACCGCUUUUGUCAGGGAAGAAAUCUUCUGAGUUAAUACCUCGGGAGGAUGACGGUACCUGAAGAAUAAGCACCGGCUAACUACGUGCCAGCAGCCGCGGUAAUACGUAGGGUGCAAGCGUUAAUCGGAAUUACUGGGCGUAAAGCGUGCGCAGGCGGUUUUGUAAGACAGAGGUGAAAUCCCCGGGCUCAACCUGGGAACUGCCUUUGUGACUGCAAGGCUUGAGUGCGGCAGAGGGGGGAUGGAAUUCCGCGUGUAGCAGUGAAAAUGCGUGAGAUAUGCGGAGGAACACCGAUGGCGGAAAGGCAAAUCCCCCUGGGGCCUGCACUGACGCUCAUGCACGAAAAGCGUGGGGAGCAAAACAGGAUUAGAUACCCUGGUAGUCCACGCCCUAAAACGAUGUCAACUGGUUGUUGGGAGGGUUCCUUCUCAGUAACGUAGCUAAACGCGUGAAAGUUGACCGCCUGGGGGAGUACGGCCGCAAGGUUGAAAACUCAAAA
rnacentral:rRNA from 1 species